rnacentral:rRNA from 1 species
UACGUAGGGCGCAAGCGUUGUCCGGAAUUAUUGGGCGUAAAGAGCUCGUAGGUGGUUUGUCGCGUCUGCCGUGAAAGCCCGGGGCUUAACUCCGGGUCUGCGGUGGAUACGGGCAGACUAGAGGCAGGUAGGGGAGAACGGAAUUCCCGGUGUAGCGGUGAAAUGCGCAGAUAUCGGGAAGAACACCCGUGGCGAAGGCGGCUCUCUGGGACGGUACUGACGCUGAGACGCGAAAGCGUGGGGAGCGAACAGG